rfam:TPA: Bos taurus chromosome 26, whole genome shotgun sequence.
UGCCUGGUGGUCCAGUGGGUAAGACUCUGUGCUUCUAACGCAGGAAGCGCAGGUUCAAUCCCUGGACAGGGAA